UUACGCGACCAAUAAAUACACCAACUAAUUCGUACGAUUUUGUAUUUGUGUUUGAUUAGACUUUCAAGCAUUAUAUUGCAAUUGCACUGGCAUCUACGGCCACCAAGAAUAUAUAUUAUAGUGUACUAGAGGAACGCAUUGAAAGAAAUGUUUUCGAGCAAAUGUUAAAGAUGCAAAGGUACGUGUCCUCCCUUCUGAUGCGAACUGUGGUUUGUUCACAGGAAAUUUCGCCUGUCAGUUGUCAAUUAACGUCCUGCUAGUCAUGGUGCAUCAAGCACUGAUCAACAUGUUCAACAUGUUCGAUUAACUGGUCGCCUAAGAAAGAACUCAGUCCCAAAACGACUAGCGAACACGUGUUGAAGGUUCGUCGUUCCGAUCUAUCGUCUUGUACUACAAUUUACUGCCUAAGAUACUUAUCAACAGACACGGUGUGCCCACGUUCUAUACUGUUUCGCAAAACGCGACAGAAUCAAGCGUCGAGCGUCAAACGUCGAUCAACGUACAUACAUAUGUACAUAGGUACAUACGUGUUCGUCGUUGGCGCGAGAAAGUCCUGUUUGUAACUCUUUACACCUAUACACGUACGAACACACGCCCAAACAGACGGAGUACCACACAACACAGACGCAACACCACACAGAAACCGAGACACGCACACACACAAAAGAUACAUUAUACGCUGUUUAGAGUGUUGUUUGUACUAAUAAUGAAAAUUCUAGUUUAUCGUGGCUAGCGUGGACACGAUUUAAAACCAAAGAUAUAAGUAAAAACCUGUUGAUGGAGUGAAAAUGGAGAACGGAGGGAAAGAGGUCCUCCUCUUCGCAGCGUUGGCGGUGUAAAUAAUGUUCAAGAUUUGAUCGUAUUACAGUUCGAGUCAUAUUGUAGACUGUGUUUGUUACUCUUCGUGUUACGUCAGAUUCAUAAUAUAUUGUUUAAACGAAUGAUGUAUGGAACUUUACAUACGAUAUACAGCAGAUAAGAUAAUAUAUAUAUAUAUAUAUAAAUAUGGAUAUGAACAUAAAGAUACGAUUAAACCAAAAAAAAAAGGAAAGAGAGAAGAAAAUCGAAUGGAUAUAUUGAUUAUACGUAACUUGAAUGUGUAAUUAUUUUAAUAUGUGUAAAUAGCUGCGACAAUAUGCGGUAUCGAAACACAAACACGGCGAAUAUUUAGGGACGAAGGAUAACGACGAUAACAUCUUUGUUCCGGGAGGAGGGGGGAAUGUGAAUUGUACAGUUUCUGCGAUCGAUAUUGCGAACAACUUUAUCGUGUGUGUUGUUUCUGAUCGCGAAGUGAGAAUACGACAAUUAUACUAUAACGUGAUGCGAGACACAAAAGUAUAUCGCGACGAGGAAAGGGGCAAAAAUUAUUAGGACAAUUUCGAUGUACAUGAGACGAUACGCUAGUAAGGUCGAUGAGUUUUAAUUUGUCGAUUAAUAAAAAAUAUUUGUAACGUUCGCUCAGGUAUUUCCAUCGUUCCAUCAUUAUUUUCAGUUCGAUCGAACGAAACGACCAAAAGAAUUAUUUUACCCGGUUGUAAUAAAACGUUUCACCUUUACAUUCUCUGUUUUGUGAACAACGAUACCAAAGACGAACGUGGAAAUGCCCGAUCGAACAGUCGAAUCCAAACUGCAUGCACCAAAGUUUGGCGACUAAUUAAAUUAGGCCUAAUGUAUAAUCUACUGAUCGCACGUAACAAACGCCAGCGAACUUGUAAAAUUGAACUUGAAGUUCCUUUCUUUCAAACGAAGAGAAAUGUUCUUUUAAGAAGAAGAAUCUAACGAAUAAAAGUGUAAGAAGAAGAGCUUUCGUCGCGUGAUUGUGAAACUAAUAAAUCCGAAAACUGUUCAAAUUAUUGAAGCUGGACGAGCGCGUAGCGUUCUAACGAAAGUGAAAGAGAGGUAAGAAUUAUAGAAAAGAUUAUAGUAGACUUUAUAGUUGUAAAUAAACUACCCUCUGUAGCACUUCUAGUCCUUUGAAACACGGAAAGCCUAAAGGAAGAACGAUAGGAAACGGAGGGAAAGAAUUCUGUAUAUUAUAAUUUCGUGUACGAAACGCCCGAGGAUUCUGUAAUUAUACAGAACGAAUGCUUGGACGAAGGAAGAUGAUUUUCAUGUUUGUAAAGUGAAAUACAUUUCUGUACCAAAGAAACCAGCGGACGGUGUAUCCAUGUCAUUGAAUGUUCCAUAAAACGUCCAUAUCCUCCAAAGAGUUGUCCAAUCAGAUGUAAUCGAUAAUCAACAUUCAUCUUCAGGUAAUCAACAAGAG